rnacentral:rRNA from 1 species
ACUAACAGGAUUCCCCUAGUAACUGCGAGUGAAGCGGGAAAAGCUCAAAUUUAAAAUCUGUCAGUCUUUGGCUGUCCGAGUUGUAAUCUAGAGAAGUGUUAUCCGCGCUGGACCGUGUACAAGUCUCCUGGAAUGGAGCGUCAUAGAGGGUGAGAAUCCCGUCUUUGACACGGACUGCCAGGGCUUUGUGAUGCGCUCUCAAAGAGUCGAGUUGUUUGGGAAUGCAGCUCAAAAUGGGUGGUAAAUUCCAUCUAAAGCUAAAUAUUGGCGAGAGACCGAUAGCGAACAAGUACCGUGAGGGAAAGAUGAAAAGAACUUUGGAAAGAGAGUUAAACAGUACGUGAAAUUGCUGAAAGGGAAACGCUUGAAGUCAGUCGCGUUGACCAGGGAUCAACCCUUGCUUUUGCUUGGUGUACUUUCUGGUUGACGGGUCAGCAUCAAUUUUGACUAUUGGAAAAAGAUCAGGGGAAUGUGGCAUCUUUGGAUGUGUUAUAGCCUCUGGUUGUAUACAAUGGUUGGGAUUGAGGAACUCAGCACGCGCCGCAAGGCCGGGUUUUUAACCACGUACGUGCUUAGGAUGCUGGCAUAAUGGCUUUAAUCGACCCGUCUUGAAACACGGACCAAGGAGUCUAACAUGCCUGCAAGUGUUUGGGUGGAAAACCCGAGCGCGUAAUGAAAGUGAAAGUUGAGAUCCCUGUCGUGGGGAGCAUCGACGCCCGGACCAGAUCUUUUGUGACGGUUCCGCGGUAGAGCAUGUAUGUUGGGACCCGAAAGAUGGUGAACUAUGCCUGAAUAGGGUGAAGCCAGAGGAAACUCUGGUGGAGGCUCGUAGCGAUUCUGACGUGCAAAUCGAUCGUCAAAUUUGGGUAUAGGGGCGAAAGACUAAUCGAACCAUCUAGUAGCUGGUUCCUGCCGA